GUGCUCGCUUCAGCAGCACAUAUACUAAAAUUGGAAUGAUUCAGAGAAGAUUAGCAUUGCCCCUGCUCAAGGAUGAUAUGCAAAUUAAUGAAGUGUUCCAUAUUUUU
rnacentral:snRNA from 1 species